AUUGAACGCUGGCGGCAGGCUUAACACAUGCAAGUCGAGCGGGGUGAUGGUGCUUGCACUAUCACUUAGCGGCGGACGGGUGAGUAAUGCUUAGGGAUCUGCCUAUUAGUGGGGGACAACGUCUCGAAAGGGAUGCUAAUACCGCAUACGUCCUACGGGAGAAAGCAGGGGAUCACUUGUGACCUUGCGCUAAUAGAUGAGCCUAAGUCGGAUUAGCUAGUUGGUGGGGUAAAGGCCUACCAAGGCGACGAGCUGUAGCGGGUCUGAGAGGAUGAUCCGCCACACUGGGACUGAGACACGGCCCAGACUCCUACGGGAGGCAGCAGUGGGGAAUAUUGGACAAUGGGGGGAACCCUGAUCCAGCCAUGCCGCGUGUGUGAAGAAGGCCUUAUGGUUGUAAAGCACUUUAAGCGAGGAGGAGGCUCUUUUGGUUAAUACCCAGAAUGAGUGGACGUUACUCGCAGAAUAAGCACCGGCUAACUCUGUGCCAGCCGCCGCCGUAA
rnacentral:rRNA from 1 species